rnacentral:rRNA from 1 species
UUUAUGGAGAGUUUGAUCCUGGCUCAGGAUGAACGCUGGCGGCGUGCCUAAUACAUGCAAGUCGAGCGAACGGACGAGAAGCUUGCUUCUCUGAUGUUAGCGGCGGACGGGUGAGUAACACGUGGAUAACCUACCUAUAAGACUGGGAUAACUUCGGGAAACCGGAGCUAAUACCGGAUAAUAUUUUGAACCGCAUGGUUCAAAAGUGAAAGACGGUCUUGCUGUCACUUAUAGAUGGAUCCGCGCUGCAUUAGCUAGUUGGUAAGGUAACGGCUUACCAAGGCAACGAUGCAUAGCCGACCUGAGAGGGUGAUCGGCCACACUGGAACUGAGACACGGUCCAGACUCCUACGGGAGGCAGCAGUAGGGAAUCUUCCGCAAUGGGCGAAAGCCUGACGGAGCAACGCCGCGU